rnacentral:tRNA from 1 species
GAUUCAGUAGCUCAGUUGGUAGAGCACAUCCCUUUUAAGGAUGGGGUCCUGGGUUCGAGACCCAGCUGAAUCA